rnacentral:lncRNA from 1 species
AUCCCGAGGAGAGUACAAGCUGAUAUUAGCAUCAUACAAUAUCUGAUCAUUUAUCAAAGAAGAUAGCUUGGGUGUUUUGGUGGUAAUCAGGGUUGAAUGAGCCACCUCAUCCCUAGAGAAAAUUUCAUCAUCGAAGUUAUGUUUGGUGUCUAGACAUCCUCAGAAAGUCCUAAAAUCUCAUGGAAUAGGAGCUCGGAUGAAGAAA